GUAGGUCUAUGGGUUAUGAAGGGUUUGUAAAGCAUCUACGUAGGUCUAUGGGUUAUGAAGGGUUUGUAAAGCAUCUACGUAGGUCUAUGGGUCUACGUAGGUUUAUGGGUUAUGAAGGGUUUGUAAGGCAUCUACGUAGGUCUAUGGGUCUACGUAGGUUUAUGGGUUAUGAAGGGUUUGUAAGACAUCUACGUAGGUUUGUGGGUCUACAUAGGUUUAUGGGUUAUGAAGGGUUUGUAAGGCAUCUACGUAGGUCUAUGGGUCUACGUAGGUUUAUGGGUUAUGAAGGGUUUGUAAAGCAUCUACGUAGGUCUAUGGGUUAUGAAUGGUUUGUAAAGCAUCUACGUAGGUCUAUGGGUUAUGAGGGGUUUGUAAAGCAUCUACGUAGGUCUAUGGGUUAUGAAGGGUUUGUAAAGCAUCUACGUAGGUUUAUGGGUCUACGUAGGUCUAUGGGUUAUGAAGGGUUUGUAAAGCAUCUACGUAGGUCUAUGGGUUAUGAAGGGUUUGUAAAGCAUCUACGUAGGUUUAUGGGUUAUGAAGGGUUUGUAAGGCAUCUACGUAGGUCUAUGGGUUAUGAAGGGUUUGUAAGGCAUCUACGUAGGUCUAUGGGUCUACGUAGGUCUAUGGGUUAUGAAGGGUUUGUAAGGCAUCUACGUAGGUCUAUGGGUCUACGUAGGUCUAUGGGUUAUGAAGGGUUUGUAAAG